rnacentral:rRNA from 1 species
UUGGUCAUUUAGAGGAAGUAAAAGUCGUAACAAGGUCUCCGUAGGUGAACCUGCGGAGGGAUCAUUACACAAAUAUGAAGGCGGGCUGGAACCUCUCGGGGUUACAGCCUUGCUGAAUUAUUCACCCUUGUCUUUUGCGUACUUGUUGUUUCCUGGGCGGGUUCGCUCGCCACCAGGACCACAAUAUAAACCUUUUUUAUGCAGUUGCAAUCAGCGUCAGUAUAACAAAUGUAAAUCAUUUACAACUUUCAACAACGGAUCUCUUGGUUCUGGCAUCGAUGAAGAACGCAGCGAAAUGCGAUACGUAGUGUGAAUUGCAGAAUUCAGUGAAUCAUCGAAUCUUUGAACGCACAUUGCGCCCGCUAGUAUUCUGGCGGGCAUGCCUGUCUGAGCGUCAUUUCAACCCUCAUUCCCGGCUUCGUGUCGGGGAUGGUGUUGGGGGAUCGGCCUCCCGGUUGCGGGCGGCCGGCCCCGAAAUAGAGUGGCGACCACGCCGUAGCCUCCUCUGCGUAGUAGUGAAAACCUCGCAUGUGGAGAGCGGUGCGGCCUGCCGUAAAACCCCCAACUCUUCUAAGGUUGACCUCAGAUCAGGUAGGAAUACCCGCUGAACUUAAGCAUAUCAAUAAG